UCAUCCGGCCGUUCAUCACGAGCAUUCCCUCGGAUCUGCAGAGCGCCCCAAGCUGGGCACCAAAGAAAUUGCAAACUUGGUCCUGGCACUUUCGAUUUCCGAGUCCAUCAUAAUUCUGGUGGUCCCUCAGUCCUUCAAAACCCAUGACCUCGCAUACGGCCUGCGACUGCUCUAAAUCCGGGAUGUCAUUUACGUAAGCAGGUAAGUCCAUCAGGGUAGCACGGUUCCGCUCAUGCUGUGCUCCAGACAGACGUGCGUUAAGAUCCCGGCUAUCGUUAUCCCCGGCUACACGGUUUUUGUGUUUUUUAGUAUAAAUAUGUUAUAAAUUAUCCAGCUACCUUUUGAAAGGCCGUGUGCUGCAGCAUUGUCAAGCCUUGUGCUCCCACUCGGUACUACCCACGCCAGGGGCUCAGAGCUGCGGGAGAUGUGUACAGCGGCGGGGCCGGUUCCUCAACCCCGGGGGGACGAUUUGCUGCAACACGCGAGAGCUCGCCAAGUGUCCUCGGUUGUGGGACUAAGUACGGAAGUCGUACGGAACAGACAGACAGGUGGACUGACAGACAGACAGAAUGACAGAUGGGGAAACGGAUAGUAAGGGAAAUGCGCAAGCGCGGGGUCAGGCCGUGUCGUCGUACUGUGUCGUACUGCGUCGCGGUUAAUUAGUGGUUGGUGCGGGUGGUGAUGCAGUUGCUUGCACACGGCUUGUGCGUGUUUAGCACACAGGUGAUGUGAGACGGGAUGCGUGCUCCAUGUGUUGUGGCCAAAGUAUACGACCUUUAGGGCAGGGAACGACACGGUUGGGCGGGAACGAACCUAGUGAUGGUGACGGUGCAGUGGCGUUACGGCGUUAUGUGUGUAAUGUACGAGAUGAAACCUG
rnacentral:lncRNA from 1 species